ACCAGUAAGUUAACUUCAGAUCUUUAUACAUUUUCGUACUCCCAGGGUGUACAGUAUACGGCGCCCGAUGUGCUUCUAUUAGAAUCUCUUCUUUAAUACCAGAAUCUGCCGGUACACAAAGUUUAUCCCCGAAUUUCAACAGUCCCUGAUCAUCCACUCGAAAAUCACCAACAUAAUCAAUAGUGAUUUUAUCUCGAAUCUUUU
rnacentral:lncRNA from 1 species